AGGUGUGGUGGCACACGCCUGUAGUCCCAGUUACUCGGGAGGUGAGGCAGGGGGCUCACUUGAGCCCAGGAGUUUUAGGCUGCAGUGAGCCGUGGUCUAAUCAUGCUACUGCACUUCAGCCUGGGCAACAGAGUGAGACCCUGUCUCUA
ensembl:misc_RNA Metazoa_SRP Metazoan signal recognition particle RNA